AAAUUGAAGAGUUUGAUCAUGGCUCAGAUUGAACGCUGGCGGCAGGCCUAACACAUGCAAGUCGAACGGUAACACAGAGAGCUUGCUCUCGGGUGACGAGUGGCGGACGGGUGAGUAAUGUCUGGGAAACUGCCUGAUGGAGGGGGAUAACUACUGGAAACGGUAGCUAAUACCGCAUAACGUCGCAAGACCAAAGAGGGGGACCUUCGGGCCUCUUGCCAUCAGAUGUGCCCAGAUGGGAUUAGCUAGUAGGUGGGGUAACGGCUCACCUAGGCGACGAUCCCUAGCUGGUCUGAGAGGAUGACCAGCCACACUGGAACUGAGACACGGUCCAGACUCCUACGGGAGGCAGCAGUGGGGAAUAUUGCACAAUGGGCGCAAGCCUGAUGCAGCCAUGCCGCGUGUAUGAAGAAGGCCUUCGGGUUGUAAAGUACUUUCAGCGGGGAGGAAGGCGAUAAGGUUAAUAACCUUGUCGAUUGACGUUACCCGCAGAAGAAGCACCGGCUAACUCCGUGCCAGCAGCCGCGGUAAUACGGAGGGUGCAAGCGUUAAUCGGAAUUACUGGGCGUAAAGCGCACGCAGGCGGUCUGUCAAGUCGGAUGUGAAAUCCCCGGGCUCAACCUGGGAACUGCAUUCGAAACUGGCAGGCUAGAGUCUUGUAGAGGGGGGUAGAAUUCCAGGUGUAGCGGUGAAAUGCGUAGAGAUCUGGAGGAAUACCGGUGGCGAAGGCGGCCCCCUGGACAAAGACUGACGCUCAGGUGCGAAAGCGUGGGGAGCAAACAGGAUUAGAUACCCUGGUAGUCCACGCCGUAAACGAUGUCGACUUGGAGGUUGUGCCCUUGAGGCGUGGCUUCCGGAGCUAACGCGUUAAGUCGACCGCCUGGGGAGUACGGCCGCAAGGUUAAAACUCAAAUGAAUUGACGGGGGCCCGCACAAGCGGUGGAGCAUGUGGUUUAAUUCGAUGCAACGCGAAGAACCUUACCUACUCUUGACAUCCAGAGAACUUUCCAGAGAUGGAUUGGUGCCUUCGGGAACUCUGAGACAGGUGCUGCAUGGCUGUCGUCAGCUCGUGUUGUGAAAUGUUGGGUUAAGUCCCGCAACGAGCGCAACCCUUAUCCUUUGUUGCCAGCGAUUCGGUCGGGAACUCAAAGGAGACUGCCAGUGAUAAACUGGAGGAAGGUGGGGAUGACGUCAAGUCAUCAUGGCCCUUACGAGUAGGGCUACACACGUGCUACAAUGGCGCAUACAAAGAGAAGCGACCUCGCGAGAGCAAGCGGACCUCAUAAAGUGCGUCGUAGUCCGGAUUGGAGUCUGCAACUCGACUCCAUGAAGUCGGAAUCGCUAGUAAUCGUAGAUCAGAAUGCUACGGUGAAUACGUUCCCGGGCCUUGUACACACCGCCCGUCACACCAUGGGAGUGGGUUGCAAAAGAAGUAGGUAGCUUAACCUUCGGGAGGGCGCUUACCACUUUGUGAUUCAUGACUGGGGUGAAGUCGUAACAAGGUAACCGUAGGGGAACCUGCGGUUGGAUCACCUCCUUACCUUAAAGAA
rnacentral:rRNA from 1 species